rnacentral:rRNA from 1 species
GACGAACGCUGGCGGCGUGCUUAACACAUGCAAGUCGAGCGGUAAGGCCCUUUCGGGGGUACACGAGCGGCGAACAGGUGAGUAACACGUGGGUGACCUGCCCUCAGCUCUGGGAUAAGCCUGGGAAACCGGGUCUAAUACUGGAUAUGACUCCAUGACGCAUGUUGUGGGGUGGAAAGCCUUGUGCGGCUGAGGAUGGGCCCGCGGCCUAUCAGCUUGUUGGUGGGGUGAUGGCCUACCAAGGCGACGACGGGUAGCCGGCCUGAGAGGGCGACCGGCCACACUGGGACUGAGACACGGCCCAGACUCCUACGGGAGGCAGCAGUGGGGAAUCUUGCGCAAUGGGCGAAAGCCUGACGCAGCGACGCCGCGUGAGGGAUGACGGCCU